rnacentral:rRNA from 1 species
GGAGUCCUACGGGAGGCAGCAGUGGGGGAUAUUGCACAAUGGGGGAAACCCUGAUGCAGCGAUGCCGCGUGAAUGAAGACGGCCUUCGGGUUGUAAAGUUCUGUCGCAGGGGACGAAAAUGACGGUACCCUGCAAGAAAGCUCCGGCUAACUACGUGCCAGCAGCCGCGGUAAUACGUAGGGAGCAAGCGUUGUCCGGAAUUACUGGGUGUAAAGGGAGCGUAGGCGGGAGGAUAAGUUGAAUGUGAAAUCUAUGGGCUCAACCCAUAGCUGCGUUCAAAACUGUUCUUCUUG